rnacentral:tRNA from 1 species
CAAAAUGAAGCUUUUAUAGCAAUUUAUUUACACUAAGGAGAUCUUCUUAUUAAGAGGCAUUUUGA